UCAGAAGUCCAUCCCGAUGGGUCUUCUCCAGUAGCUACACAACGAUGGACAUGCCUCACAUAGUAACUUGUGGUUUUGCUUGACUCAAGACUAUUAGGUCUGUGGGAAGGAACUACAAAAUAGCA